AUUGAACGCUGGCGGCAUGCCUUACACAUGCAAGUCGAACGGCAGCACGGGAGCAAUCCUGGUGGCGAGUGGCGAACGGGUGAGUAAUACAUCGGAACGUGCCCAGUAGUGGGGGAUAACCCGGCGAAAGCCGGACUAAUACCGCAUACGACCUACGGGUGAAAGCGGGGGAUCGCAAGACCUCGCGCUAUCGGAGCGGCCGAUGUCAGAUUAGCUAGUUGGUGGGGUAAAGGCCUACCAAGGCGACGAUCUGUAGCUGGUCUGAGAGGACGACCAGCCACACUGGGACUGAGACACGGCCCAGACUCCUACGGGAGGCAGCAGUGGGGAAUUUUGGACAAUGGGCGCAAGCCUGAUCCAGCCAUGCCGCGUGCGGGAAGAAGGCCUUCGGGUUGUAAACCGCUUUUGUCAGGGAAGAAACGCUCCGGGCUAAUACCACGGAGUAAUGACGGUACCUUAAGAAUAAGCACCGGCUAACUACGUG
rnacentral:rRNA from 1 species